rnacentral:lncRNA from 1 species
AGGGCCAGGAGCUUGGAUUCCCUGGCGUGUGGUGGCAAGGGGAAAGUGGCACUGAGUUUGAAGUUUCAGAUUAAUACGGGUGAGAGACAUGCUGGCUAUGUGAACAUGAUUGGAGAGGGUGUCAUUGCCUGGCAUAUUGCAGUGCACAGAAGGGGCCCGUGAGCCGCCUGAUAACCUCACGAGUAGCUUCUAUGUAUGUGUCAUCCUGAGGGUGAUGGGUGGUGGUGGUCGGUUUACAGAAAUAAGUGGACUAGCAUGCAGCACAGUUCUACUUUGCAUUGUGAUGAAGGCCCUCAGUGCACCAUUACUUCCUAUAACCCAAACCCUAUCACAGCCUCUAUUUCGUACAUUGUUCAUGCACCCUUCAAGUUUCUGAGGAUGGUGAGGGGGAAGGGGACAGAGGACUGUCACACAGGCCCCUCCUUAAGGUCAUGAAACACACCUCCUCUCUGGCACCCCUUCCCCCCUUUCCUUCCCGCUGCUGCUGCUGCUGCUGUUGAGAUUCCGCCGAUAUCCGGCUCUCCUCACCUGGAGUUGGGCUCUCAACUGUAUGACUCCGAAUGGCUCGCAUGGACGCUGCUAUCUGGAUGCAGGUCUUCUUGACCCUGCUCCUCUGCCCUACCCGCACCCGCACCCCACACCUCGGACCCCCGUGACGUGUAGGCGGUUGAACCCCCUUGUUGCCCUUGCCUCAUCAUCAUCAUCAUCACCAUCAUCACCGUCAUCAGCAUCACCAGCAUCACCAGCUUCACCAGCAUCAGCAUCACCAUCACCAGCAUCAUCACCAGCAUCAUUACCAUUACCAUUACCAGCAGCAGCAGCAUCACUAUCACCAGCAUCACCAGCAUCACCAGCAUCACCACCACCAGCAUCACUAUCACCAGCAUCACCAUCACCAGCAUCACCAUCACCAGCAUCACCAUCACCAGCAUCACCAUCACCAGCAUCAUCACCAGCAUCAUUACCAUUACCAUCACCAGCAUCAUCACCAUCACCAGCAUCAUCAUCAUUACCAUCACCAUCAUCACCAUUCAUCGUCACCAGCAUCGUCGUCGUCAUUGUCCUGUGACGACCUCCCACCCCCCACCCUCCUCAGACUGGCACUUGAGGUCCAGUCCUGGUAUCGGCAGCAGCUGGAGGCCCGACCCGUCAGGUUCAUGGAGAUAGUGGCAAUGAAGGGUAGGGCCGCGUGUGUAUGUAUGUAUGACUUAGAUUACACUGUGGGCUGCGAGAGCCGCGGGCCAAAGCCGAAACACAACGCAAGGGUCAGGAGCAC